UUUAAUUAAUCAUAAUUUUUUUAAAAAAAAGUUUCAUUUUUUUUUUAAAUUUAAUGAUAUUUCAAAUAUACAAUUUUUAAUCAACUUAUCCAAAUUAAAUGUAUUACAAAUCACUCAAUAUGAUUGCACUGUAACAAAUAAAUAUGAAAUAAUACAAGACACGUUAAUUAAUUACAUAAAUCAUUUGUUGGGUCUGUUAUUUAAAUUGGAUGAAAAGGGCGUUCCUGCUUCUACAACUUCCCCAACUGCCUCAACUAUCUCAACAUCCUCAACUAUCUCAACAUCCUCAACUACCGUUUCUACUGCAGCUACUUUAAACAAUAACAACACUGUUAUCAGCUCUGUACCAAACAAAACACAAUUGUCCACAGAAUAUAACAAUGAUAACCAUGAUACACAAAAAAUAAAUGAACAAAAUAACAGCAAAACCAAAAAUGUGAACAAAGAAGAUAGUAGUAACCAGCCCUAUAGCAUGGUAAACAUUAAAAAAAUAAUCAGUAAUAUGUUUCGAUUCAAUAGUAGAUUACUAAAACAUGUGUACAAUAACAAUAUCAAUAGUGAUAAAUAUAAUUUUAAUAGUUAUGAUCAAAAGAGUAAAAAGAAAUGCCAAAAAAAUAAAAUAUUAUUAAAAGAAUUAAUAUAUCAAUCUCUAGACUAUAUCACAUUAAAUGAAAAAACAAGUUGUAUUUCCAAUAAAUGGAAUAAUAAUAAUUUAUUUAAUUUAUGUUUAUAUAACAUAAUAAAAUAUAUUGAAAAGAAACAUAAAUUUACAUAUGUGGGAAGUAAUGAUAAUAACAAUACAAAACAUGAUACUGAGAUUUCUAAUAGUAAUGAAAAAAAAAAUAAAGAAAAUGAUGAAAAUUUAUUAUUUAAUAUUAUUAAUAUAGAUGUAGAUAAUAAAAUAAAAAAUAAAAAUUAUUCAUAUACCGAAAGUUUGUUAAAACGAAUAAAUGAAUUACUUAAUUUGACUAAAAAAUCAUCUCUUUAUAUUAACACAGGAUUACACAUUAUUUUACGCAAUUACUGUAUACUCAAUAUAAACCUUUUAAACUUUGAUUUAUUAUUUCUUUUUAAUUUGUAUUCAAACAAUAAUUUUAGAAAUAAAUUUUUUCAUUAUAAUUAUGAUAUCUUAUCUGCAUCAAUUAAUCAAGGUUUGAGUGACAGUAAUAAUGCAGGUAGUACUUCCAGUAACAGUACCAAUCCAAACAAAACACAUGUAGAAGAAAAACUCAACACACAACUAGGUAUUAAAAUGUCAAAUGUAACAAACUUAAAUAUAUUUUCCUCCAAAUCUGGAUCAACAAACAAUACGAAAGAUGAAAAAAUAAACCAAGAAGUUAGAAAUAAAGCAGAAGAUGUGGCAAAAAAUAAAAAAAAUAACCAAAAAUACAAUGAGUUAAUGUAUAUUUUAAAGAUUUUUGCUAAUUGUUUAGCAUGCCAAGAUCUUAAUUAUAAUUCAUUUUCAGUUUUAUAUUUUAUGUAUAAAAAUUUAUUACAAAACAUUAUGAAAAUAUGUUUUAAUUUUACAUAUGUUGUAAGUACUGAGUUUUUUUUUUUCAAUGACGGUAUAAAUCUAAUGUCAGUCGAAAAUUUAAAAAGAGAGCAAAUACCAAGUACUUUAUUAUUUGAUAGUAUAAGAGCCUUUACAAAUAUUAAAUCUUAUUAUAAAUAUUUUUAUCAUAUGUUAAAAAAGGAACAUGAUGAAACGGAAACAAAAACGGAAACAAAAACAGAAACAAAAAAGGAGAUAAAAAAGGAACCCCUUUUGUUGAGAAGUUUGCAUAUGUAUGCGAUACAGCAAGAGGAGAUAA
rnacentral:lncRNA from 1 species